rnacentral:lncRNA from 1 species
AAAGAGCUUUAAUUUUGCUCAUUUCAAAUGCAAACAAGAAAAAGCAUGGUGAGGUGGAAAGAUUACUGGACUAGAAAAGAGACCUAAAUUCAUGUCCUACUUCUGGCAUUUAGUUGCUCUGAGACUUUGGGCCAAGAAAUAUCCUUCCAUUUCUUGACCAAGAGCAUCUUCUAAAAUUGGGAUAACUAAGACUGAGAAUGCACACAGAGCCUACUUUUCUCUCAUUGCUCAACCAGUGCACUCAAGAAACAUCUUCUCUUAAAUCUGAAUCCUGGAAUCCCAGAUACAAGGUUAUAGAGCUUGAAGAGAUUCAAAGUGAUCCAGCCUUCUGCCUUCUGCCUUCAGUUCUUCUCUGUUCCUGGAGCAGAGGGUGCACUUUUCCAAGCCUGAAGAGUUCUCUUCUAUGGAACGUGGGGUAAACCUGGCUACCCAUGCUCUUCACAGUAUGUAUGUCUCUUUAUGAGAUUGCCCUCCUGACUUGCAAUUGUUUUGUCAUGCUACAUUCAGAACCCAGUAUAAGACAGCAUCCAAGUUCAAGUUGCCCUGAUUUCAUAUCAAGAAAAUGAGAUAUUGUUGUGGAUAGAACACUGGAUGUAUAGUCAACAUUCUUUGAACCCUGUCUGCCUCAGUUUUCCUCUUAUGUAAACUUAGGAUAAUGACAAUAUCUAUCUAUCAGGGUUAUUGUGAGAAUCAAAUGAGGUAACUCAUUAUUAUUAUCUCCUACUACAACCUCUACUACUACAACGACCACCACCACCACCACUACUAUUAUUCCAUACUACAAGCUUGCAGUCUUCCCCAUCCUCCCUGCUCCCUAUUUACAUUUUUUCAGUCAAAUUGUGCUAUAGUUCUGUUUCUUCCAUCUUGUUUUUGUAAAGUUAUUUUUGAACCCAUUUUCCAAGAAACUAUAUUUUGAAUUUUGUGUAUUUUGAAACAAAUACACUAGCAAAAUUUCAAUCAAUUUGAUGAUGGGUAGUUAGAAGUUGUAUUCUUUUAUACCUACUCCUCUAGUUUUCAUAUUUCUGAAUAUGAUGAUUAUUCCAGGUCACAUUAUAAAUGUUGCUCUAGAUCAAGUA